rnacentral:rRNA from 1 species
AUUGAACGCUGGCGGCAGGCUUAACACAUGCAAGUCGAACGAGUGGCGGACGGGUGAGUAAUGCUUGGGAAUCUGGCUUAUGGAGGGGGAUAACUACUGGAAACUGUAGCUAAUACCGCUUACCAUAGGAUGAGCCCAAGUGGGAUUAGGUAGUUGGUGAGGUAAAGGCGCACCAAGCCGACGAUCACUAGCGGGUCUGAGAGGAGGACCAGCCACACUGGGACUGAGACACGACCCAGACUCCUACGGGAGGCAGCAGUGGGGAAUAGUGCGCAAGGGGGGCAAGCUGAAGCAGCCAUGCCGCGUGAAUGAAGAAGGCCUUCGGGUUGUAAAGUUCUUUCGGUAGCGAGGCGUUAACUACAGAAGAAGCACCGGAUAACUCCGUGCCAGCAGCCGCGGUAAUAC